AGCAGAGAGGACAGACACCCCCAAGACACGAGACGGAGUCGGGUAGGGGAGAGGGGCUCAGUUCCCGCGACAGAGAAAAAGGGGCGGGGGAAGAAAAGCAGAGGGAGCUUUGGGGGAGGGUGGGCCCGCUCAGAAUCAAGGGGAGGUGAGGAGCAUCGGAGGGUCCUGAGCUCCUGCCUUCCAUGUGGGAAGCAAGCACGAGGCCGCUGAGUGCAGCCGGCUCCUCGCCCCGGAGUUUGCGAGCCAGGGGUCUUCCGGGGUCACAAAGACCGCUGGGCAGCUGGAGCCGGGAGAAACGGUUCUUCAGGAGCGUCAGAGCCACAGAAGGGUCUCACGCAGCCUGCAUCCCUGGCUUAUAGGGGCAGGGGAGAGGCUAUGAAUGAGUCUCUGAGUGACUCCUGAAUCACUUCCCACCCCCUAGUGCCAACGAUGUGCUAAGCUCUUCACUGAGUCACUUCUCCGGUCCCUAAGGACGCACAAGCCAAGAGACUCCAACCCCAGUUGGCAAGCAAGUGCUUUAGCGAGGAAAGGGAGACCCCGUGGAGUUUCUCCACCUUUCCGGGCUGCAAGCCCCAAAGUCUGGCGCCCCCCCCCCCCCCCGCCCCCCGCCCAGCCUUUCACCAGGUCCUUCUUCCCAUCCGUCCUGAAGUCUGCCUUCCUGUCUGCACAGGGCUCAGCUCCCCGGGGAGGGGUCUUGCCUUGGAAAGUGGGCUUCUUUCCCAUCCCGACUGGACUGUCCCGGUGACCUUGAGGCAGAAGGACUCCUCCCAGGGCACGAGCUUCCUCCUCUGUCAAUGAGGGUUGAGACUGACGAUCCCAAUGGACUCAAGUUUCAUCCCCAGCCUUCUCUGACUCAGUCUUUCCGUUCCUUGUCCUCUCGUCCAGGCCUCUAUACACAGCAGCCUGAACACAUGGAGAGUGCAUCGAGGGAGUGGGUGUCCUGGACAGGACCUAGCACUUUCCAAAGACAGCAGCAGACCGAAUCCCCAGUGUGUGAAUGGAGGACUCGGGAUGAAGGCUUUGCGUCUUGUCCAUUAUGCUUUGAACCCUCAGCCUAACUUUUAAAGGGAAGAAAAUGGGGGCCUAAAGAGGAUCCAUCAGAGAAGGAGGCAGGGAGGGGAAAGCGAUCAUUUCAUCCGCUCAACAAGUGUCCAUGAACAUCAAACUUGUCUCAGGCCCUGGGCCAGGUGCAGGGACCCAAAGAGCCUGUUUUUACCCAGACUCUACAAAUUGACCCUGACUGUGCUCUUAAAAAAUUAAAAACCUCCGCUUAGUUUCACUUCUGCAUCAAACAGACAGCGUAAACAUGGGUCACCUGUUUUUGAGUCUCCGUGGGAGAGUUUGGCAUCGAACAUCGUCCCACCGCGACCUAUCCCUGAGUGUCUCGGCAAGCACCCGCGAGCACCAGGAUUCCUGAGCACCUGGAGGUGAGAAAAGCCAGGAUGCCGAAAGCUCCCGGGGCUCCCAAAGCACCUGCGGCCACGGACAGACAUCACCCGUACCCCGCCCCGCCCCACCCCGCCCAAGAGAAGGAAACAGCCUCUGGUCAGACCACAGGCAGAGGCAGGCCCUGCCGGAUGCCCAGCCCAGCUGUGCUUCUGAAACCUGCGGUUUUUCCAGCGAAUCCUCCACCCGGUGUAUCAGCAGAGGGAGCUCUAGCUAGCAAAUAACUUUCCUCCGACCGCAUCCUCUCCUGGAGAAGAGAUCCAGAGAGAGCAGGGAAAAGCAAGCGCCUAAGGGGAGCUGGCGCCCCUGCCGUGCAGAAGGAAACCCCACCAGUCGGCAAGGGCGGGGCUUGGGGGAUCGGGGGAGGAGGAGAGACCCCUUCCCCCAGCCCCCCCCCCAUGAAGAAGGAAGUGAGAAAAUCAGAAACCACCGAAUUUCUGCAGAGGUUGUCUGGCCUUGUUCUGCCCCAGCACCUUGGGUCCCCGGGGGCUCACAGCCUUUCUGCUGUCUUCCCAGUGCAUGAUGUUCAAGAAGGGGACACACUCCCCGUCCAAGUCUCAGACUACCUUGGCAGACAUUUUUUAUCUUUAAAAUAAAUGUUUAUGGUGUGUCA